UUUAUCCUGCCUCUAAAUGCAGAGUUGGUCUUUGUGUAGACAUGAUGCUAAUGUCAUUUUCUUUCCCCUGCAUACAGAUGGAACAUACAAACACCCAGAUGGAUUUGUGGUGGCUUGAGGACAAGGUUUCAGCAGGAGAUUAUACUAAUCAUCGACUCGAUGGGCCUGUGAGCUUGAGUUCUACGUAGAACCAGACCAUAAACAAAAAGAUCCUUCAUCUCUUUGGGACUGAAGUGCUGAGACAGUCAUUCAAAGUUCUUUUUUUUUUUUUUAAAGAUUUUUUUUUAAUUUUUUAUUUAUUUAUGAUAGUUACGGAGAGAGAGAGAGAGAGGCAGAGACAUAGGCAGAGGGAGAAGCAGGCUCCAUGCACCAGGAGCCUGAUGUGGGAUUCGAUCCCAGGUCUCCAGGAUCGCGCCCUGGGCCAAAGGCAGGCGCCAAACCGCUGCACCACCCAGGGAUCCCAGUCAUUCAAAGUUCUAAGCAGUUUUUCAGACCUUCCUGAAGAUGACCUGGAGAUUCUCCAAAAUUCAGUUUGAUGGUGCCACAUAUUACCGAACACUGCUGGUGAUGAUGGAACGCCCUUUUCCUAUGAACAUAGAUAAUACAUUAACCAGUCGGCUAAGGCAAGGAAGCAUCACGAAUAGCAUGAAGACAUGCUCCUUUCAGGUCUGUCACACUACAAUAUUCUUUACCAUGAUACUAAUUUUUCUCUCAAGGUUAUCUAGUCUGUUAUAAAAGUUUUAGAGCACUAUUUGAUUACCCAGAGGGUCUUAAAAAAUAAGCUUUAUCGAUGUACAAUUUACAUGUGAUAAACUGCAUCAAGGGACCAUUGAAAAGCUCCCCUGUGCUCGGCUUCAGCUGCGGAGAUGCUGAUUCACUUGGUCGGGGAUAGGGCCAGGCCUCAGGACCUUGUAAGUGCUUCCCAGGGGCUUCUCGCUUGCAGCCCCUGAGUGACAAGGCAGUGAUAUAGUUGACCUCACUAUUCACUAAAAGCAUCUCCUAGAGAAGAUUGGCAUGUUGCUAACAGGUGAACAGGUGAUGGAGCCUUCCUGAAAAUGCAUUGGUGACCUAGGGCGUGGCCACAGUGGAGAGUUUUGAGCGUUGGGAAUAGAUCUUAUACUGUGUCUUUGACAUUUAUGUUCAAGGAGGAAAGGGUAG
rnacentral:lncRNA from 12 species